rnacentral:sRNA from 1 species
CAGAAAAAUGGGUGGCUCAGCACCACCAGAUAGCAGCUGGAGAGGAAGUCUCAAAGUGCCCUACAAUGUUGGACCUGGCUUUACUGGAAACUUUUCUACACAAAAAGUCAAGAUGCACAUCCACUCUACCAGUGAAGUGACGAGAAUUUACAAUGUGAUAGGUACUCUCAGAGGAGCAGUGGAACCAGACAGAUAUGUCAUUCUGGGAGGUCACCGGGACUCAUGGGUGUUUGGUGGUAUUGACCCUCAGAGUGGAGCAGCUGUUGUUCAUGAAAUUGUGAGGAGCUUUGGAACACUCAAAAAGGAAGGGUGGAGACCUAGAAGAACAAUUUUGUUUGCAAGCUGGGAUGCAGAAGAAUUUGGUCUUCUUGGUUCUACUGAGUGGGCAGAGGAGAAUUCAAGACUCCUUCAAGAGCGUGGCGUGGCUUAUAUUAAUGCUGACUCGUCUGUAGAAGGAAACUACACUCUGAGAGUUGAUUGUACACCACUGAUGUACAGCUUGGUAUACAACCUAACAAAAGAGGUACUGUAAAAUCUGAGGCAACUAGUGAUUGGAGUCGACCCUCCAGCACAACACAGCAGCCCUGCAGAAAAGUGGCUAGACUGUUUUA